rnacentral:rRNA from 1 species
CCUACGGGUGGCUGCAGUAAGGAAUAUUGGUCAAUGGAGGAAACUCUGAACCAGCCAUCUCGCGUGAAGGAUGAAGGGGCUCUGCCUUGUAAACUUCUUUUGUCUGGGGCGAAAAAGCUCGAUUUAUCGAGAACUGACGGUACCAGAAGAAUAAGCACCGGCUACCUCCGUGCCAGCAGCCGCGGUAAUACGGAGGGUGCAGGCGUUAUCCGGAAUCACUGGGUCGUAGGCGUGCUAAGGCGGCAUAGUAGAAAGGCUGUGGCUUAACCAUGGAAUUGCCAUUGAUACUGCAGAGCUUGAAUGAGGUUGAGGUUGGCGGAAUGUGACAUGUAGCGGUGAAAUGCUUAGAUAUGUCAUGGAACACCGAUUGCGAAGGCAGCUGACUGGACCUAUAUUGACGCUGAGGCACGAAAGCGUGGGGAGCGAACAGGAUUAGAUACCCUUGUAGUC